GGGUAUGGUGCAACGGUAGCGCAACGGUCUCCAAAACCGUUAAUGGGGGUUCGAUUCCCUCU
rnacentral:tRNA from 1 species